GCUUUACAAGGAUUGACCGAUGUGAUUUUCCCAGCCAGCCUAUGAAGUAGCUGCCAUUACAUCUUAAAUUUACAGAUGAUGAAACUGAGCCCCAGAGAAGUUAAACAACCUGCGCCAAGUGACAGAGCUAAUAAAUGGCUGACUCGGAUCCUUGACCAAGACCUAGCAAGUGGCAAGUGUUCAAUGUGGCUUUGACAGCCUCAUCAAUACCGGGCUUCGGUCAGCCACGAAAAAUCCAGCAGAGUUGCCGAGCAAGGUGAACACUGUCUUUGAUGCAGAAAAUACCUGGAAAUCCCUAGAGAAGGCUGUCUUUUUCCUCACCAGUAAAUCAAGGCAGAGGUGGACUAGAAGAAUUCUAUGAAGGAAGACACAUCCUGCUGAAGCCAGAGGUGCUUGCUGUCCAUCCCAACCUCAUUUGGAAUAUUUCUGUGGCUCAGAUUCAGUGAACUCCAAACAUGUGGACCAGUGCUCCUGUGGCCAUCACACUACGUCAAGGGUGAAGUCUGUUAAAACAAAUGAAGGGAUUGUUACCCAGCAUCUUGUCGAGCAAGUAUGAUAAUCGGAAAAAAGAGGAGGUUGUUGAAGAAGUGUUCAGAAGAGAGUGGGACUUUGAAAAUGGAAGAUGGAUGAACUGCAAGAUGAUUCAUUACCAGCUAGAAAAAUAACCAGCAUCCAGGACAGCGAUUCAGAAAGGAAGUUACGGAAAGAAUGGGCAUCAGAAGUUUGGAGUCACUGUGAUUAAAGGGGUCUUCCUGAGUGACAAGAGACCUUGUGCUCCAGACCGAAUGUUUUGCAGAGCCCUUGAUUGCUCCAGUUUUCUCAGACUCUGCUGAAGAAGUUCUGGCUCUCUACCUCAUUACAGGCAAAGAAGACUCUUAAGCAGUGAGACACAGGGACUUGAAGAGGAAGUUACCAGUAUGCAUGGAAAUUGUCCCCUAAAGUGACCUCCCAGAAAAAAGGCACAGGAAUGGGACACUGAUGGUGUCUGCCACAGGUGCAAGGGAACAGCAGCCAUUUGGACUACUUACAAACAUUUGUGAAGAUCUUUAUAAGUACAGCCAGAAUGCUUUCCAGAUAAGGUAAGCAAAACAAAGAUUUCUGUCACCAGAAUGAGUGUGAUCAACUCCCCACACUCACCAGGACAGAAUAUUAUCUUUUCUUUAUUUCAGUACACUAAUAGACAAGAUAAUUUUAUUUGUCUUUUUACUGCCUGUCUUUGGUUCACA